rnacentral:rRNA from 1 species
CCUACGGGUGGCAGCAGUGGGGAAUAUUGGACAAUGGGGGCAACCCUGAUCCAGCCAUGCCGCGUGUGUGAAGAAGGCCCUCGGGUUGUAAAGCACUUUCAGUGAGGAAGAACGCCUGGUGGUUAAUACCCAUCAGGAAAGACAUCACUCACAGAAGAAGCACCGGCUAACUCCGUGCCAGCAGCCGCGGUAAUACGGAGGGUGCGAGCGUUAAUCGGAAUUACUGGGCGUAAAGCGCGCGUAGGUGGCUUGAUAAGCCGGUUGUGAAAGUCCCGGGCUCAACCUGGGAACGGCAUCCGGAACUGUCAAGCUAGAGUGCAGGAGAGGAAGGUAGAAUUCCCGGUGUAGCGGUGAAAUGCGUAGAGAUCGGGAGGAAUACCAGUGGCGAAGGCGGCCUUCUGGACUGACACUGACACUGAGGUGCGAAAGCGUGGGUAGCAAACAGGAUUAGAUACCCUAGUAGUC